AGCCUUUAGCUCACCAAGUAUUAAAGGUCCUGCCUGCCCAGUGAAACUUUUAACGGCCGCGGUAUCCUAACCGUGCAAAGGUAGCGUAAUCACUUGUCUUCUAAAUAAAGACUCGUAUGAACGGCUAAAUGAGGACCUAACUGUCUCUUACGACCAAUUAAUGAAACUGAUCUUUCAGUCCAAAAGCUGAAAUAUAAACAUAAGACGAGAAGACCCUGUGGAGCUUUAACCAAGAUACUAUACCCACCACAUAUAUCUACACCUGUAAUAGUACCUCGUUUAAGUUGGGGCAACUAUGGAAAAAGAAAAACUUCCACAUUACCCUAGGGCAAACCCCCCUACCCCCCAGACCCACCUGUCAAACACUAAGCACAUCGACCCAGUCCCACUGAUCAAUGAACCAAGUUACCCCAGGGAUAACAGCGCAAUCCCCUUUCAGAGUCCCUAUCGCCAAGGGGGCUUACGACCUCGAUGUUGGAUCAGGACACCCAAAUAGUGCAACAGCUAUUAAUG
rnacentral:rRNA from 1 species